GACGAAUGCUGGCUGCGUGCUUAACACAUGCAAGUCGAACGGUGAAGGAGGGCUUGCCCUCCGGAUCAGUGGCGAACGGGUGAGUAACACGUGGGCAACCUGCCCCUCACUCUGGGAUAACGCCGGGAAACCGGCGCUAAUACCGGAUACGACCAGGCGCGACAUCUCGCCUGGUGGAAAGAAUUUCGGUGAGGGAUGGGCCCGCGGCCUAUCAGCUAGUUGGUGGGGUAACGGCCCACCAAGGCGACGACGGGUAGCCGGCCUGAGAGGGCGACCGGCCACACUGGGACUGAGACACGGCCCAGACUCCUACGGGAGGCAGCAGUGGGGAAUAUUGCGCAAUGGGCGAAAGCCUGACGCAGCGACGCAGCGUGAGGGACGAAGGCCUUCGGGUUGUAAACCUCUUUCAGCGGGACGAAGCGAAAGUGACGGUACCCGCAGAAGAAGCACCGGCUAACUACGUGCCAGCAGCCGCCGUAAAAC
rnacentral:rRNA from 1 species